UUGAACGCUGGCGGCAGGCCUAACACAUGCAAGUCGAACGGUAACAGGAAGCAGCUUGCUGCUUUGCUGACGAGUGGCGGACGGGUGAGUAAUGUCUGGGAAACUGCCUGAUGGAGGGGGAUAACUACUGGAAACGGUAGCUAAUACCGCAUAACGUCGCAAGACCAAAGAGGGGGACCUUAGGGCCUCUUGCCAUCGGAUGUGCCCAGAUGGGAUUAGCUAGUAGGUGGGGUAACGGCUCACCUAGGCGACGAUCCCUAGCUGGUCUGAGAGGAUGACCAGCCACACUGGAACUGAGACACGGUCCAGACUCCUACGGGAGGCAGCAGUGGGGAAUAUUGCACAAUGGGCGCAAGCCUGAUGCAGCCAUGCCGCGUGUAUGAAGAAGGCCUUCGGGUUGUAAAGUACUUUCAGCGGGGAGGAAGGGAGUAAAGUUAAUACCUUUGCUCAUUGACGUUACCCGCAGAAGAAGCACCGGCUAACUCCGUGCCAGCAGCCGCGGUAAUACGGAGGGUGCAAGCGUUAAUCGGAAUUACUGGGCGUAAAGCGCACGCAGGCGGUUUGUUAAGUCAGAUGUGAAAUCCCCGGGCUCAACCUGGGAACUGCAUCUGAUACUGGCAAGCUUGAGUCUCGUAGAGGGGGGUAGAAUUCCAGGUGUAGCGGUGAAAUGCGUAGAGAUCUGGAGGAAUACCGGUGGCGAAGGCGGCCCCCUGGACGAAGACUGACGCUCAGGUGCGAAAGCGUGGGGAGCAAACAGGAUUAGAUACCCUGGUAGUCCACACCGUAAACGAUGAUUACUAGGUGUUGGAGGAUUGACCCCUUCAGUGCCGCAGUUAACACAAUAAGUAAUCCACCUGGGGAGUACGACCGCAAGGUUGAAACUCAAAGGAAUUGACGGGGGCCCGCACAAGCGGUGGAGCAUGUGGUUUAAUUCGAUGCAACGCGAAGAACCUUACCUGGUCUUGACAUCCACGGAAGUUUUCAGAGAUGAGAAUGUGCCUUCGGGAACCGUGAGACAGGUGCUGCAUGGCUGUCGUCAGCUCGUGUUGUGAAAUGUUGGGUUAAGUCCCGCAACGAGCGCAACCCUUAUCCUUUGUUGCCAGCGGUCCGGCCGGGAACUCAAAGGAGACUGCCAGUGAUAAACUGGAGGAAGGUGGGGAUGACGUCAAGUCAUCAUGGCCCUUACGACCAGGGCUACACACGUGCUACAAUGGCGCAUACAAAGAGAAGCGACCUCGCGAGAGCAAGCGGACCUCAUAAAGUGCGUCGUAGUCCGGAUUGGAGUCUGCAACUCGACUCCAUGAAGUCGGAAUCGCUAGUAAUCGUGGAUCAGAAUGCCACGGUGAAUACGUUCCCGGGCCUUGUACACACCGCCCGUCACACCAUGGGAGUGGGUUGCAAAAGAAGUAGGUAGCUUAACCUUCGGGAGGGCGCUUACCACUUUGUGAUUCAUGACUGGGGUG
rnacentral:rRNA from 1 species